rnacentral:snRNA from 1 species
ACCUCUGAAGCAUGUAUAUACUAAAAUUGGAACAAUACAGAGAUUAGCAAGGCCCCUGUGCAAGGAUGGCAUGCAAAUUCAUGAAGCAUUUUAUAUUUUG